UUAAAAGUGAUGUACAUAUUCUAGUCAUGUAUUUUUUAAAAUGUUUUUAAAAGCUGUGGAUUCUUCUUUUAGGAUCUCAGAGAGGAAUGCAUUAAGCUGAAAAUGCGUGUGUUUGAUUUGGAGAGGCAGAACAGAACACUGUGUGAGCUCUUGCAGGAGAAACUGCACAGUCAGUCAUGUGUACAUCAGCAGGUAAAUGAUUAAAUCCUUCAACGUACAAUGACAAAAUGCACAGUGCAGGUCCGAUUAUAGUUUGAAAUUUGUUUUUCACAAAACAUUCUUCAAAGUCCACAGGGAUGUUCUGUUAGGUUUGUUUGCAAAAUGAAGAAAAUGGCUCAAUUAACUUCUUCCUGUUUAAUUUUCUUGAGCUGCUUGGGCAGCAUUUUUUCAUGUAACUACAAGGAAUUUGUGUGUAAACAGGCAACAACAAAAAAAACUUGUGCAUGCAUAGUUGUUAUACAUGAGGUGUUUUGCAUAAUCCAAAAAUUAAUUCAUAUAAUAAGAAGCUUAAAGCUUACCUGAUGUGUCUUAUCAUAGCAGCCAGGACCCUGUCUGGAACACAUCGGCGAGCUGCAGCACAGUGAACCUAACAAACUGAUUGAGGCUCAGAGGAAUGCACAGGCCAAGGUAAGAGCUGUACACAAAGUCUUUAAGUCAGUCUUGUAUGACAACUUUACCUUAUCCUUAUGAUUUGGUUCCACAGGGAAACAGUGAAUGUGCACAAAAUUGCAUACCAGAGACCCAAGGCUCAUCCACGUCCAUGGAGGCCAUGUCCCCAUUCUUGAAGAAGAAAGCACACAUUUUGGAGGUCCUCCGCAAGCUUGAAGAAACGGAUCCACUUCGGUACCAUCGUUCCUCUGGCAUUCCCUCGAUCUGUGACUAUAGCCAGGCUCUUGCCUCUAAGGAGGCUGUAUUGGCCUGUAGAGACAAUACAUCCAGGUGCAAUGCACCCAAAGCACAUUGUUCCCAUUCCUGUCCAGAUGUUUGCACACAUCAGCAUUUGAAUGGAGGAGAGCACAGCAAUGUAAAAUGUGGUAGUUGUAGCACAUGCCUGAUACUGUCCAAUAAAGAUUCAGUCAGCUUAGCCAAGAGUAGCCACAAUUGUUGCACUUCAGCCCCCAUUACCAUUGAUAACCUCAAUUUGGCUCGGCCCGAUUUCCAAGAGAACAUGGAAAUGCAGAGCCUUGUGAAGCCUGCCACAGGUACAAGUGAACUAUUUAUAAAUAGGACAUCUGGAGAUUUGUCCAUUCUUUCAGCAGAGCAAGGUCUUAACCCUCCGAAUGAUCCCCACUCAUUAGAAAUCCCUGAAUCAUACUCAAGACUAACUGUUUCAGAAAGAGAUCAGCCCAGAGGGUCCGAUCACGUGUUGGUGGAAACAAGAGACAAGAACAGGUUAUCUGACCUUCUGCUUGAAUCUCAGUCCAACAGGUCAAGCGGCAGCACCUUCAAUGAGACGAUUUGUGAUGAUAGCACAAUUGAUGUGGCGCUACUGGACUUGGACUUGAAGCACUUAAAUGCUGUAGUGCCACAAAGACUCGAGAAGGAAGAGUUUGCAACAAAAGAAGACACUGACUGUGUCUGUCGAGGCAACAUAGCCACCUCAAAGCUGCCUACUCUCGGACUCAAAGAAAAUGAACCAGUCCACAAAGGCUUGUUAUUUUCUCCUAAUGAGAAUCAUACUGCCUCAAAAGUACUGGAUGAUAUCUCUGUCCCUGUGAAAGACACACCAUCCGAUCCUCAGUCCAUUAGAUUGAAAGUUGCGGUCGGCCCAAAUCAAGUUUCUUGCCUUAGAGAGGUCAAGGCCUCACCCUCCAAACUGCUUAAGUUCCUCAAGAUACCCACUCUUGGAGAACGUACUGCAGUACCUGCUCCACCUCGUCUCAGUCCUCAGUUGACUCGUAGCUCAAAGAUUCCUUGCCGGAGCAACAACUAUGAGGUGAACAAUUCACCUGUAGCCACGCGAAAAGCCACCACGACAGA
ensembl:lncRNA